UGGGGAAUCUUGCACAAUGGGGGCAACCCUGAUGCAGCGACGCCGCGUGAGCGAUGAAGCCCUUCGGGGCGUAAAGCUCUUUCGACCGGAACGAUAAUGACGGUACCGGGAGAAGAAGCUGCGGCUAACUACGUGCAAGCAGCCGCGGCAAUACGUAGGCAGCAAGCGUUGUUCGGAGUUACUGGGCGUAGAGAGUGCGUAGGCGGUUUUCUAAGUUCGGGUUGAAAUCUCCCGGCUUAACUGGGAGGGUGCGCCGAAGACUGGGAAGCUGGAUUGUGGGAAAGGCAGGCGGAAUUCCUGGUGUAGCGGUGAAAUGCGUAGAUAUCAGGAGGAACACCGGCGGUGUAGACGGCUUGCUAGACCAUAACUGACGCUGAGGCACGAAAGCGUGGGUAGCAAACA
rnacentral:rRNA from 1 species